GUUUAGGAUUUUCUGCAGUUCAGUUCAGUUCAGAAAUCUGGACGGGUCGAUUUGGUUUUAAGUCAGGCAAACUGUGCUAAUGCUAUUCUUCAGCAAAAUAUAAAUUCUUGUGUGAGUCCCGAUUCCCAAGGAUGAGAAAUUAGCAAUACUAUGCACUACUAGACUGAAGAAAAAAUGUGCUACUGUUCAGAAUUCAGAGUCAGCUCAUUUCAGACUUUGUAGAUCAUAAAAAAUAGGUUACUUUUGCUGAUAAUAAUUCGUUACCGGGAACCAAAAAUUAUUGGACCCCAUUUACUAAGACUGGAUCUUGUCAUGCCCAUUGUACAACUCGGUAUUGUCUCAUUCUCAUUGGCAUGUUGCUGUUUACAAUGCUAAUGCAGGUGACCUGAGGCCCGGCUCGGAUGUCAACAGAACAGGGCCAGCCGGCCAAGAAAUGCUUAUGCCUAAAGACCCAAACGCCACUAUUAUCAUGGUUAGCCUGAACCCCAUGGCUAACAGAUCCAACAAUUCAUCCAUCACAAGCUGAGCAGACACGCAACUUACAUCGUCGUCGAUUGGUUGCUGCUUGUGACAUGGACCGGCAUCGCGCCGUUCCCGUCAUUCUUUUGGAAAAUAUACUACGAGAAGUAUGAUGACUACAAGACCACCCUGAUUGGAUUGAUGGGGAUUCAUUCUUUGGUGAAUGUGUGGGAUUCUUCUUCCACAGACCACCCUGAUUGGAUUGAUGGGGAUUCAUUCUUCUCCCACUCCGACGCCUCCCUCCCGUCCUGCAUGAUUUGCCUCGUCUUCCUCCCCGGCAAAGGCAUAGUGAUCGAUGAGCAGCUUUGCCAACCACUUGGCCAACCUGAGGGUGGGCCCCAUCAUAUCGAGGAUGAUGGCUAAGGUGGACGGGACGGGUGGCAUUUUUUGUGAUUUUUCUCUCUACGCCACAACCACGGCGGUACUAUCCAGACUAGGCUACAACUUGCACAGGUUGUUGUUGCUUUGGAGAAGGCAACACUGCUAGACGAGUAUUUUAUCGAGAGGAAGAUGUAUCCAAAUGUGGAUAUUUACUCUGGUCUGAUAUAUAGGCCACCCGGAAGUUUGAUGUUGUGAAAGGCGAGAAGACGGAUGAAUGGAUGGAUCUUGUAGCACUGCUUGAUCGUAAUUUGGUUGGUGUGAAGCUAGUGCCUGAUUGCUUGCUGGGUGCUAGCUCUUAGCUCCUUUUGUAUUCAAGAACGCGAGGAAGGUACGUCUCUCAGUGCGUAGAAGCCCACCGGUCACCAUUCAUUCAAAUAAAAGAAUGACAACACGAGCAAGCAAGGAAGGAAGGGACAGCGGUGAGUAGUGGAAGCUGUUAGAUUGUUAGCUUUAUUUCACUUGUGUUGGGGAAAUGAUUUUGUAUGAUGAAACAUAAUAUGCUAUGUUUCAUUGAACGACUUGGGAGUGCAUGAAUGAUGAAUUUCGAAAUAUAAUACGGCUUCAUUUUA